rnacentral:lncRNA from 1 species
CAGCCCGGCUAGCGGCAGCCAGCGCCGCCCAGCGCCCGGCCCCGGGGUCGCCACCGCCCGCCGAGUCGACUCCGCGGUGCCAGCCCCGCUGUGACGCAGGCCGCGCCGCCCGGGAACUUCCUCCCCUGCAGAGACCACCUCGCUCCCGGGACUCGCCAGCGAGGGAUGCCGCCGGCCGCCGGGGGCCUUCUCCAGGACCAGGAGAGAAAUCCUCUCUCCGCUUCACGACGCGGCCACUCCCACCCCUGAGACGCCCACCUGGCGGACUCUGAGGGAGGAUUCGGCUGCGUCUAAUACCACCUCCACCCCUCAUCCCUCACAAUGCGCGGAAAACCACAGGCGGCUGUGCGCGCAGCGUCGGCUCAGCCACCGCAGCUCCUCCCCUGGGAUGAAAAAGCACUCUGACGUCUUGAAAGCUGGCAGCUCUCUGUUUGGAAAAUCUCUGCCCAGUGAAAAAAUGUACCGACAAGAUUACUAAGUAACACAGUCUUCUGGGAAUGCCUUAUCAAUGCCAGCUAUUUGAAGAGCACCCAAAGUCAAACUAGUGCUCCGCGCUGGCAGUCUGGAAAAGGCAGAUGUAUGUGAGUAGAGAAACUGAUAGACAACUAGUUGCUGGCCAGUUGGCCUGUUUUCGUGCUACAAGCCUUCAGAAAACAGUCGCCUCCUUUUACCACGUUUCUAUUUCUAAACCAAAAUGAAAAGGACGUUUGUUCAAAAGAUAUUCUCUUGGGCUUUACAUUGCUUUCCCCCUGCUCACUCAGCAAAAUCCUACACUUUUUUUCCAAUUCCAAUGCUGCUGUUGGGUGUCCUUCCCAGAAGACAACCUUAAAUUCUCUUAGGCCUUAGGAGCUGAAUCUAACACCAGUCUUAAUUAACCUACAACAAGACAAAAAUUUAGGUCCGGGCUUACCUCCUAGUCAGCAGAUGGGAAAAAUUCCUAGAGAGUCUCUGGGAAAAAGGCAAAGGCUAACUUUAGCAGUUUGCUAGAAAAAAAAAAAUUCAAGUACCUUGUAAGUCACCAGGGUAGAUGCAGCAAUACUCUCUAAGGUAGCUUUACCUCUUCAAUUCUCUUACCUUACCUGAAUUUAAACACAGUGAGGCAAGUACCAAGGUCACAACCCUCCUGUGGAGGGCCUUAUUCUGCAAGGGCUCUCUGAUAUACUUCUAUCUUUGUACCGUUGGCACCUGACCACAAGCUUAGGCAUCCCUGAAAUGCUCCCUUGCUACCCAGUGUCAAGGAAUCAUUGAACCUUAGACUUUGUACUCAGGUGAACCAGGAUGAAAUCCCUAUUCUUCCAGUUUAAACUUAGGAAAUUUACUGUUCUUUUUAUCUGCCCCCUCCCCACCACCCACAUCCCCUUAUCAUCCCUAUAGGUAUAGUACUACAGGGUGCUGUGAGAAUUAGCUAAUAUGCUCAAAGCACCAAGAACAGUGCCAAUCACUUUGUAAGUAGUCAGUAAAUGAGAGCUACUAUUGUACUUAACUACUCUUCACUGAAAGCAAAAGAACCAGGAAUAGCAAAAAGGUUUGGAAACCUGGGAUCUGAAUCCCCUGCAAGUUGAGUCCACCCCAAGUUGCUUUAUUGCAAUACUUUUGGCUACUCUUGUGUCUGCCUUCUAAUUGGAUCAACUGGGUAGUUCUUCACGUGUAGGCAGGUGAUUCACAUGCACAUUAAUGCUUGAAAGCCACUAGUCUAAAAACUAUGCUACACUGGUUAGUUCACCUCUUCUUAUUUUGUAGCAUGUAAACCUUAAAUCUAGUGAUCUUACCUCAGUCCACCUAAUUCACAUUAACAUCCACACUUAGCAAGCUCUCUGUAAAGGACUGGUAGAAUUAGCAAUCAGUCAACUUGAGUGAGGGUCUUAAAGAAGUACAAGGCUUAUUCUCCGACUUCAGGGUGUUCAUAGUUCAUGGGAAUCAUGCAUACACACAAACCAGAAUAAACCAUUUUGAAGCAAAUGUGCUUGAAGUUCAGCACAUCUCCAGGAAGGAGAGGGUACUGUGAGCUAGAUGAACUGGGUGCACAGACUCUGUCUUGACCUUUCACUUUAUACCCAAUUCUUUAGGCUAAAUUUUGACAUUCUAAUUGGACUUCCAGAGUUAGUAGUUCUCACACUAAAGACUGUGUAAUUACAAGUUAACCAUGUACAGGUUGGUGAUAGAAGCAGAAGUAGAUAUUUCUGGGCUAUGCAGGGCUAUGGUAAGGGAUUUGGAAUGAAAUAGGUCUGGGCUUAAAUCUUGUAUCUCUAGCUAUGAACUUCAGUUUCCUCAUCAGUCUAUUGGAAUAUAACUACCUUUUAGGGUUGUGGUGAGACUUAGAAUAUCUGUAACCCCUCUAGUGGGUUGUAUGGUAACAGCAAUUGUGUCACAUUGUUGUUUUGUUGUUAGCUGUAAGAAAACUCAGGCUGGGCUGAGUUGUUCCUUGAAGGCGUAAUUAAUUAAUUUUUUCUGAGACAGAGUCUCAUGCUGUGUGAUCUCGCUGACUGCAACUUCCGCCUUCCAGGUUCAAGCAAUUCUCCUUGCCUCAUCCUCCUGACUAGCUGGGAUUACAGGUGCCCGCCACCACGCCCAGCUAAUUUUUGUAUUUAUUUAUUUUUUUUAGUAGAGAUGGGUUUUCACCAUGUUGGCCAGGCUGGUCUCAAACUCCUGACCUCAGGUGAUCCACCCGCCUUGGCCUCCCAAAGUGCUGGGAUUAUAGGCAUGAGCCACCACGCCUGGCCUGAAGGCAUAAUUUAAAAGUCACCUUCUCUAUGAAGCCUCCACAGGUUCUAGGCAAGUAUAACUCUUCCUUCCUUGUGUGACCACAGCACUUACCAUGGCAUGCUCUCAUUUGUCUCUUUACAUGCCUCUUCACUACAGAGUCUGGGAGCCUCUCCAGGGCAGGGCUGUAUCUUGAUUCACUUUUAUGUCCAUUAUCAAUACCCUGCACAGGACCUGGUUGCUAUGGAAACUUAAACGUGUGUGUGUGUGUGUGUGUGUGUGUGUGUGUGUGUGUGUGUGUGUGUCUAGACUAGAGGGUUGGAAUUUUCAGCCCCACCUGGACCUUUGACCUUUUGGGAGUGUAGAGGAACUGGAAACUGACUUAAUUACCAACGCUAAUGAUUUAAUCAAUCGGGCCUAUGUAAUGAUGCCUUUAUAGAAACCAAAAAGGAUGGAGUUCAGAGACCUUCCAUGUUGAUGAACAAGAACACAUUCACCUGCUGUAGGGGUAGGUGUACCCCAAAACUCCACUGAUACAGAAGCUUCUAUACUCAAGACCCUUCUAUACUCAAGACCCUGGAUCUUACCCUAUAUAUCUCUUCAUCUGGCUAUUUAUUUGCAUCUUUUAAUAUAUCCUUUGUAAUAAACUAGUAAUCUAGAAAGCAAACUUUUCCUAGCUCUGUAGGCCAUUCUAGUAAAUGAUUAAACCUGAGGAGGAGUUAUGGGAACCUUUGAUUUGUAGACAAGUUGGACAAAAGUGGUAUAUAUCCUAAUAUAACAUGGGAACCUGCCACUUAUGAUUGGCGUGUGAAAUUGGGGGAUGGGGAAGCAGUCUUGUGGGACUGAGCCCUUAGCCUGUGGGGUCUAAUGCUAUCUUCAGGUAAUAUCAGAACUGAGUUAAAUUAUAGGAUACCAGUCAGUGUCCAUUGGAGAACUGAAUUAUUGUGAGGAGAAACCCACACAUUUGGUGGCUAAAAGUAUUGAUGUGAGUAGUAGCAUAUAGGAGUUUUUUGCUAUAUACAUAUGUAGUGUAAGUUUAAAGUAAAAAGUUUUGUAUUGUCAGGAGUGACUUCUUUGCACCUAAAUAUCACUGCUAUAACUGCGUUACUAAGGAAUAGUUGCUUGCUUUUAUGUAUUUGGCACCUGCAGCUACUGUUCUAAAAAGUUUGCAUGUGUUAACCUAUUAAUUAAAUCUACAAAUGACUGGCUGUACCCAUGAAGUGAGUUAUUCUAAAGACAAUGGAACAUUUAAAUGGUUUAGAAAUUUUUUGAUUAAAAAUACAUUAAUAAUAUCUCCUAAAGAAUGUGACUGAUUUUUUUCCAGGGCUCAAAUUUUUCAGUCUUUUCAUAACACCAUAUUUUAUUAUGCAUACACAAUAUGCCAUAGAGCCUGUCAGAUCACAACUUAACAUUGAAUUGCCUCAAAUUUCAGUGGCAUCAGCCCUGACGAAGCAUCUAAUUUUAAGCCUAAGCAAUUGUUUCUUUGUUUUGAAUGAGAAGCUGUCCUCUCUUUGAGGCAUGAAGAUCCAUGGCUCAGGAAACCUUAUCACGGUAGUGAAAUUGAAGAUGCUCUUGUUACUCACAUAAACAUGAUUCUCUCUUUGGAAAAUUAUUGUAGACGGUGCUUUGUAUGUUUAGGAAAUGCCGUAGCCAUGCGCACAUGCUCUGUCCGUGAAAGCCACCACCCAUCCUGAGGUAUGAUGCAUUUUUUUUUAGCAUUUUUGGAGCUUCUUAGUUUCCUGAAUCCACUCAUAUUUUUGUCUCUUUAGGAAACAACAUCAGCAACAACAAAGCCUGAUUUCCCUUCUCAGUAUCAGUGAUGUAUUAAUGGCACUUUUGCUGUUAGUGAAAAGAACAUAAGCUGGAAUUGAUGAGACCUGGAUUCCAGUCAUAUUUCUUUCAUUGACCAACUUUGUGACUUGGGAGAAAUCUCUUAAUAUCUUUACAUCCUCAGUCCUCAUUUGAAAAUGAGAGGAUUGGGAAAGAUGUCUUCUUAGGGCUUGUUUGGUGUGAGAAUUUUAUACAUAGAUAUUAAAAUUAUACAUGUUUAUCCUCCUUAGAUUUCAGUCAGUAAUGGAUAUUACCACCAGCAUUUAAUCAAGGAAGCAGGAAGUGAUCCAUCACUGCUAGCUGCUAUCUACAGGAAUUCUGUCUACAGGCAGGGCAGACCAGUCAGCCAGUAUCUUCCCGAAGUACCUUGGUCUUCCACCAUCCAUCCCACUGAGAGAGCCGUUCCUCUAAUGAGGCAUUUCUAAGCAGCUGUCCAUUGAACUCUACCCCUUGAGAUAUCCUGAGAAAUAGGAAUCUAUGGUUCCUAUUGUUUGGAAAGUAGUAUAUCUUCCUUGAAGAUUCACAAUGCGUAUUAAUAUGCUUAGGGCUCUGAUAAGUCCUGUAUUAAAAAUGCUUGUUAAACUUUGCUGAACCUAGCAUUUCUUUAACUUCACUUGGCCGUGGAGCUAUUUCCUUUAUUACACCUAUCAACAUUCCAAAAGAAUAAAAUUCCUUAGAAUAGAAUAUUUUGUUAUUUUUGAGUUAAAGACUGCAGAGCCUUCAUAAGACUUUUCUUGUUGGAAAGAGAAGGGAAUUGUGGGCUCUAUAACUCAUUUAAUGAAUAUCUGUCAAGAUAAGCCCUCUUGGUAGAUGUUUUCUUCAGCUAUUUUCCUUACAAACAUCAGUCAUAAUAGAGUGCCUGACAUCUUUAAUAGGACAAAGAGUAUCCAUUCUCAUUGGUAAUAGUGCAGCUUUGUUCUGUUACACUGAGGAAUAGUUCCCUGGCUGUUACAUACUCUUGUUAGCCUCUGGGUUCCAUGACAUCCUUUCAGAAAUAGCUGAAACUGAUAUAGAACACGCACAUAUUCUGAGCACAAAAAAGAUGACAUAGAAUAGUCUAUUAUUGGUGACUAUUGGAAGACAGUUCUCUAUGGGUCUCUAGUGUUUUUGUACUCUUUCUUCCAAAAUAAAUGUUCAAGGAUAUUUGUACAGUGAACAGCCUUGAAAGAUAGAGAUAAUGUCUUUCUCUGGAGCAAAAGCCAGACAUGUUUACUGUCCAGUAUAAUAAAGAUAAUGUUUUUCUCCAAAGCAAACGGGAAGCAUACUUACUGCUCAUAAAAGGUUGAUAUUCCCUAGCUCAGGAUUUCUCUCCUAUAACACAAUCCACUGUGGAGUUAGGUGCUUUCUCGCUCUCUUUGCAUCUCCCUGUGGGAAGUGGGUCUCCAGGAACUGAUAUAAAAAUGCUGAUACUUUGGAUACUGCUAUUGAAGUGAGUAGUAAACUUUCUUUUGUCUCUGACCCAGGACUUUUCACGUCUUAUACCACCAUCCCAGAAAGUGUAGCAGGCUAGUAUUUUAGUUUCCAAGGAUAAGAAAAUUUCAGACCCUCCACAUUUCUUUACAACGACUAGCUUUUUCCUCUCUACUAGGUGGAAAUUGAUGGGAUAACUUGAUAUACUUAUCUACCCU